rnacentral:lncRNA from 1 species
UGUCUACAUUUAACAACCACUGAUUAUCCCACAAAUUAUUCAUACCAAGACUAUAUAUCAAUCUUUUAACAUAUGUUGCCCAAUUCAUACAUUUUGAACAAUUUAACACAAGUUCUUUAUAACAAGACCUUAAUAUACAAUUGUCACUAAUUAAAAUUUUGAACCAAAAUUUAAGUAUUCUAUAAUUACGCUCAUACUGCAGUGGAAAUCUACCUAAUUCAAAAUAGACCAUCACAUUUGAGGUCGUUCUUUUGACACUUAAUAACAUUUUGCAGUAGUCCAAAUGGACCUUUUCUAUCAUAGGAGAUUUGUGUACUCCCCAUAUUUCACACCCAUACAUUAAUAUGCUACUAACAUAAGUAUCAAAAAGACUAAGCAUUGUAAAUACAUUUAAACAUAAUGAUGAUGUAGUUCUUCUCAUACUGAACAUAGCUUUUCUACCUUGUUCUGCACAAUGUUUCUGUGUAUUAAGAAAUUUACAAUUAUAUGGUAUUAAUACACCUAAAUAACAAAAUUGUUCCACAAUAUCCAUUGUUUGACCGUUAUAGACCCAUGUCUCAUUAGGCCGUACAAUUCCACCCUUCCUGAAAACAACAAUUUUUUUUUUUUGUAUUAACAGACAAGCCCCAUUUUUCUGUGUAAAUUGACAAAGUAUUAAACAUUUC